AUUGAACGCUGGCGGAGUGCUUUACACAUGCAAGUCGAACGGCAGCACGGGGGCAACCCUGGUGGCGAGUGGCGAACGGGUGAGUAAUGCAUCGGAACGUACCCAAUCGUGGGGGAUAACUGGCCGAAAGGUCAGCUAAUACCGCAUACGUCCUGAGGGAGAAAACAGGGGAUCGCAAGACCUUGCGCGAUUGGAGCGGCCGAUGUCUGAUUAGCUAGUUGGUGGGUAAGAGCCUACCAAGGCGACGAUCAGUAGCUGGUCUGAGAGGAUGAUCAGCCACACUGGGACUGAGACACGGCCCAGACUCCUACGGGAGGCAGCAGUGGGGAAUUUUGGACAAUGGGCGCAAGCCUGAUCCAGCCAUUCCGCGUGAGUGAAGAAGGCCUCGGUUGUAAGUACGUCUUCGGUCAGGAAGAAACGGUACGUGUGUU
rnacentral:rRNA from 1 species